AUUCAGGGAAAAAUUUGUCACAUAAGAGAACCCUCCUGAACUACUGAUGAGUCAAGGGCAGCCUUCAUGCAAGAACAACUCAAUCAGCCAUUCCAGAUGGAGGAAGGAAAAAGACAUGAAGUUAGGAAGCCUUCAGCAGGAAGCAGGAAAAAGGAACUUGUCUCCAUGAGUUAGUGACAGACCAUGGCACUAAACAUGAGAAAAAACAUCUUGCUGAAUGAAGCACAGAGGUUUCAAACUGGUGGAUCCAGAGCAGAAUAGAAGGAUCUCCAAUUCCUCUUCAGAUCAGAGUUAUACUCCUGUCCUCAACACAUUCCCUGAAGAAGAAAUUUCUCAUUUCCUCUUGAAGAAAUGGGGGUGCCUCUAUACAAACAAGAAUGCCUCAAUCCUGACUUGCUUUCUAGACACUUAUCUUGAUAAUGAAAAUGCCACUGUCUCUACUCCUUCAGAGAAGUGGCCACCAAUACAUUCAAAUGAGAUGAGCAAUAUAUUGAAAGAACUAGUAAAACAUGUUAACAGUGAAUUCAAAUAAAAAUAUCUUUAUAAGAAAAAU
rnacentral:lncRNA from 1 species